AGUCCAUUAAGCCUUAGCUGCUUAGCGUUGGGAGCAUUACUGUAUGGUAACUCCUUAAAGUCAGUGGCAGGGUUGCAGUGCACUCUUAGCGUAGUAGAUUUAUUACCGCUUACUGUUGUACCGUAACCGUCGCCAUAAGCUUGUAUAUUUUAGUUGG
rnacentral:misc_RNA from 1 species